rnacentral:ribozyme from 1 species
UGUGCGGCUCUCAUUGUUCUACUACAUCUAUUUUGGGUGCAGAAAGAAAAGUUUUCGUUCUUAAAAAACAAGGAUAUCCGACAAAAGUUUAUGAACACAUCUGAAGCCUUGUGGACAUUUGUCUAUACAUCGCC